UACGGAGGGUGCUAGCGUUAUCCGGAUUUACUGGGCGUAAAGGGCGCGUAGGCGGUCUUUCAAGUCGGAGGUUAAAGGCUACGGCUCAACCGUAUUAAGCCGCCGAAACUGGCAGACUUGAGUGCAGGAGAGGAAAGUAGAAUUCCCAGUGUAGCGGUGAAAUGCGUAGAGAUCGAGAAGAAUACCAGUGGCGAAGGCGGCUUUCUGGAC
rnacentral:rRNA from 1 species